UAAAGAGUUCUAUAACUCCCAAACCCAUGUGAACAUACCUAACGUUGCCUCGGCAGGUCGCACCUACCUUGUAGCACCCUACCCUGUAGGGCCUACCCGGGAGGUGCGGGUAAGCCUGCCGGCGGCCCACCAAACUCUGUUUGAUAUUGAAUUCUGAACCUAUAACUAAAUAAGUUAAAACUUUCAACAACGGAUCUCUUGGUUCUGGCAUCGAUGAAGAACGCAGCGAAAUGCGAUAAGUAAUGUGAAUUGCAGAAUUCAGUGAAUCAUCGAAUCUUUGAACGCAUAUUGCGCCCAUUAGUAUUCUAGUGGGCAGGACCGUUCGAGCGUCAUUUCAACCCUUAAGCCUUCGUUGCUUAGUGUUGGGAGCCUACGGCAACGUAGCUCCUCAAAGUUAGUGGCGGAGUUGGUUCACACUCUAGACGUAGUAAUUUUUUAUCUCGCCUAUUAGUUGGACUAAUCCCCUGCCGUAAAACCCCUAAUUUAUCAAGGUUGACCUCGAAUCGGUUCAGACAAACUCGCUAAAUUGAAGCAUCUUAGUCAGCGAAGGAAAAGAAACCAACAGGGAUUGCCCUAGUAACGGCGAGUGAAGCGGCAACAGCUCAAAUUUGAAAUCUGGCCCUC
rnacentral:rRNA from 1 species